UUUGGAGUUUAUAUAAAAGAAAUAUGGGCGCUCAAAGUUAAGGUGUUGAUUUUAUACCUACUAUCACUCUUUUGGAUAUAAUGCAUGCGUACAAAAAGCAACGGAGGAUUGACAACUGAGGUUGAAGAGAGCACUCUCUCAGCUACACUUUUGGCAUAUUUUUUGAUGGAUUUCAAGUUUCAGUGAAGGAGAUAUUGGAGGUUGAAGUCAGUACUUAUAAAUCUAAGGGUAGUAAGUGAUCCGAAUUGCUAGUGGUUGUAUUUUGAACUAUAUCUUGUGCAAUUUGAUAAGAUUUUGGAUAAAGCUUUUCAAGAAUGUGUAUUUUCAUGUAAUCAAACUUUACACAUAAGUUUUGUAACAUUUGGAUUUUGGGUUUUUGAGAUAUGAAGAAAAU
rnacentral:lncRNA from 1 species